rnacentral:SRP_RNA from 1 species
GCUGGGUGCAGUGGCACGUGCCUAUAGUCCCAGCUACUCAGGAGGCUGAGGCUGGAGGAUCGCUUGAGUCCAGGAGUUAUGGGCUGUAGUUCGCUAUGCCGAUUGGAUGUCUGCACUAAGUUCGGCAUCAAUAUGGUGACCUCCCAGGAGCGGGGGCCCACCAGGUUGCCUAAGGAGGGGGUGAACCUGCCGAGGUCGGAAACGGAGCAGGUCAGAACUCCUGUGCUGAUCAGUAGUGGGAUCGUGCCUGUGAAUAGCCAGCCACUGCACUCCAGCCUGGGCAACAUAGUGAGACCCUGUCUCU